GAGCCUGUCGUUCAGUCCGGCAGAACGGCCGACCGGUGGUCGGCAGGCCCGCGGUUCGACUCCCCGCUCGCGAG
rnacentral:tRNA from 1 species